AUUUAUUUAGUAUAAUAAAAAGUACAUUUGAUUUCCAAUCAAAAAGUCUAUUUAAGAAUAAAUA
rnacentral:tRNA from 1 species